AUGGUAUCUUUUCUUGAGGCAUUUGGAAGCAAAGCUAGCAUCUUUCUAACAUUAAUUGGGUGUACAUAUGAUUUUUCUCAAAAGAAAAACCUGGAGCAAAAACAAAGAAAUUUACAGCAGAAAAUCUGGGAGAUCGAGUCAGAUCUUCAGCAGUUGAUAAAAGAUGUGAAGAUCCAUAAGAGUUUCAAUGGAGGGCCUGUAAUACAGCAUUUGGAUUUGUCUAAAUUCAGUACCACAUCUUCAAGCCCCCUCCCCCCUCCCCAUCAUCAUUAUGAUGAUAUAAGGAAAUCAGUUUCUUUGCUAAAAGAAAAACUUGAAGGUUUCUGCAAAGAGGAGAUAGAAAAGAUAUCUGGUACAGUGCAAAACAAUGAGAUCAUUCAAGAGGUGAAACAAUGUAAGUGUCACUAGGAAAGUACACACACACACACACACACACACAUACACUGCAUCUUCUAUGAUUUUUAUUUCUUCAUGCUCAUUAAAAAUCAGAAAUCAUAGAAAGUAUAAAAAACUGUAAUUCUUAGAACUUUGCCUUUUCACUUCAGAUCUAGAUCAGGUUUUUAUUUAGUUCAGUUGGGCUGACAAGUCAUUAUUUUCCUUUGUAAGAUUCACACAUUUCCUGUUUCAGUGGAACAGGCAAAAGUGAUAUUAGGAAUAGGAAUCAAAGUGAUAUAGAUUUGGCUGGUUUGAUUCCUCAAUGUGAUUACUCUAAUCGAUAAUUUGCCCUUCACUGAGCUGUAUAUAUUCUGGUCUGCAUAGGUUCCUUCUGUGUUAUUUAACAAAUAAACUGUGUCAGAAAAGAGAGACA
ensembl:lncRNA